GGUAUUUUGACUAUACAAAGGUAUUGAAAUAAGAUUUUAAUUGAAUGCUAAGAGAAUGGAUUUACGAAAAAUGACUUUUUUAAAUUCAAUAAUUGAAUUUAUUUUUAUUUGUGAGGAAACAAUAAUAAAUAUUAAGGACAAGAAGACCCUAAGAAUUUUAAAAGAAUUAAUAUUUGAAUCAAAACUUAUAUCUUUUUAAUUGGGGCGAUUAAGAAAUAUUAAUAACUUUCUUUACUAUACCAAAAUGAACCGUUAAUAGCGGUAAUAUGAUAAAAAUACUCUAGGGAUAACAGCGUAAUAAUUUUUGAUAGUUCAUAUAGACAA
rnacentral:rRNA from 1 species